rnacentral:rRNA from 1 species
CGCCGCGGUUAUACGAGAAACUCAAGUUGAUCAUUUUCGGCGUAAAGCGUGAUUAAAGUAACCCAAACUAGAGUCAAACUCCAACCAAGCUGUCGCACGCUUUCGUUGGUUUGAAGAACACUCACGAAAGUAACUCUACCCAUAUUACACUUGAACUCACGACCGCUAGGAAA